rnacentral:rRNA from 1 species
GCUAGUAAUCGCGGAUCAGAAUGCCGCGGUGAAUACGUUCCCGGGUCUUGUACACACCGCCCGUCACACCAUGGGAGUCGGAAAUGCCCGAAGUCUGUGACCCAACCUACGGGGAGGGAGCAGCCGAAGGCAGGUCGGAUGACUGGGGUGAAGUCGUAACAAGGUAUC